rnacentral:rRNA from 1 species
UACGUAUGGUGCAAGCGUUAUCCGGAUUUACUGGGCGUAAAGGGAGCGCAGGCGGCGCGCCAAGUCUGAUGUGAAACCCCGGGGCUCAACCCCGGGCAUGCAUUGGAAACUGGCGGGCUGGAGUGCCGGAGAGGUAAGCGGAAUUCCUAGUGUAGCGGUGGAAUGCGUAGAUAUUAGGAGGAACACCAGUGGCGAAGGCGGCUUACUGGACGGCAACUGACGCUGAGGCUCGAAAGCGUGGGGAGCAAACAGG